UACGUAGGGGGCAAGCGUUGUCCGGAAUUAUUGGGCGUAAAGAGCGCGUAGGCGGUCCGAUAAGUCCGCUGUGAAAGUCCAGGGCUCAACCCUGGAAAGCCGGUGGAUACUGCCGGGCUAGAGUCCGGAAGAGGCGAGUGGAAUUCCUGGUGUAGCGGUGGAAUGCGCAGAUAUCAGGAGGAACACCGAUGGCGAAGGCAGCUCGCUGGGACGGUACUGACGCUGAGGCGCGAAAGCGUGGGGAGCGAACAGG
rnacentral:rRNA from 1 species